rnacentral:tRNA from 1 species
AAGAAAUUAGCUCAGUGGUAGAGCUAUCGUUUACACGAAGGGUCAGGUGUUCAAAUCACCUAUUUCUUA